rnacentral:hammerhead_ribozyme from 1 species
ACACUGCUGAGGAGUCCAACAAUAGGACGAAACGGAUGUCCAAUGC